UUGAAGUACAAAAUUUGAACAAUUUCAAAAUGAUGGUUGUAUAUGACUAACAAAUAAGUUGCAUGAUGAACUACAAGAUACACCAUUAUUUGAACUAGGAGCCAUUUCACCAAACCCAGAAGAUAAACCAUUACGAGAACUUGAUGCCAUGAGCCCAGACCCUUAAGCUGUUGCAGCUUCCUCCGGCUCACUGCCGCUGCUGCUCCCAGUCCCCUAGAAACCAUUUCACAUGCUCCCAGCCAAAAUGGAAUCCCUAUCUCUAAUCCCUUUUCGUUGUUAGAGCUCGAAGAAUUACUGGCAUUGGUUUGAAGAAGCUGCGGCGCGCGAUUACGGGAUUCGGUUCGAGUACUUGGGAAGAUAAGGGUUCGGGUUCCUGCCUUGGGUCAUUGAAAGGGGUCACUCAGGUGCUGCAAGGUGGCUCUCCGCCGCGAUUAAUACCAAAUCGGUGGAGGUGGGCGGUGGGCGGUGAGCAUUUGGGCGGCCGCCCAGGCUUCCUAGGCGGGCAAUUAGGUGCAGCUGGGCGGGCAUUUGGGCAGUUGGGCGAUGCUAGGCUGGUUAAAUUAUAUAUAUUUCUUUUUUUUCCAUUUAUGUCAUUGUUCUGUCUCAGUCUCUCCUUCAGAAUCAGUCGCCGUUCUCUCCUUCAGAAUCAGUCGUCGUUCUCUCCUUCAAUCCAAAACCCAGCAAUUCACCACACCGCCAGUCACUCGCGCCUCUCUCUCCCUCAGUCUUGGCUCGGCUUUCUAUAUCUCUUUAAUCAGAUUUUCUCUUUCUAUCUCUCUCUCUCUUUUCUGUGUGGAAGAAUGGCCACUUUAGACCCAUGCACUUAAUCCAUUGGUGCGUUAAUCAAUUGGAGGAGUACCAGAAGUACCACCCCAAGGCAUGUAAGAAGAAGAACAGGCCAAUGACUAAGUGGCAGAACCCACCCAAUGGUAGGCUGAAAAUCAAUAUUGAUGGAGCUUUUAGAGUGGAUAGUGGGAAUGGUGGGAUUAGUGUGGUAGUCAGAAAUGAUGCGGGUAUGAACAUUGCGGCUAUGGCAAGGCCUUUUGUACAUGCACACUCGGCUCUAAACAUGGAAGCGGAGGCGUGUAGAGCUGGUCUUUUUCUUGGUAUACACCAAGGUUGGACGGAAAUAGAUAUUGAAAUUGACUCAACCCUUCUAAUUGCUGCCCUCCAAAGUGAAGAGAAAAAUUUCUCGGAGGUAAGUCGAGUUUUAGAUGAUUGUAAAGAUUAUAUGUCUGCUUUUCAAUCAGUUAGAAUUCGUCAUAUUUUCCGUGAAGCAAACGGUGUAGUUGAUAGACUUGCUCACCUAGCUAGUUUAUUUUCUAUUGAUGAUGUUUAGUUUGAUGAGACUCCUGCUAUUAUUCAGGAUGUACUCUACGAGGAUUAUUGUAAGUGUUUUUUUGUCACUCGGGGUUCAGGUUUUAUGUCCCCCCCGAGACAUAAUUUUAAUAUAAUAAAUGGAACCGGGCGUGGGGAUGAGCAUUCCAGCUAGGCUGGGUUCCAAACCCCUUUAAAAAAAAAAAAGUAUGUUGUUUGUUAACUUAGUUAUUUAAUUUCAUGUUGUUUGUUAACUUAUUUAGUUAUUUACUGAUCAUUUUUUAUGGAAAUCUUAGAUUCUUUUGGAUGGAAUUGAUUUUGUUACUCUUUAAUGUAAAUUGAAUGGGAGGUAGAUUUUUUUGAGCUGUACUUUUUUCUGGGUUUGGUUUUACUAUGUAAGAGCUGGUUAUAUACUGUGGUUUGAGUAGGUGCUCAAAUUGGAUGUUGAUUAGCUUCUGUUUCGUUAUCGAGAGACUGAAGGAAGAACAGCAAAAAAAAAACUAAAUUUGAAUUUUGUGCUUUCUCUUUAAGGGUAAGAAUUUAAUUGAAAGGCUGCAUUAUGUAGCAGCUUCUAAUUUCUAGGUACUGCCUAUUUGCCAAGUUAUAGGCAUGAAUGCAUGAGUAUAAACUAUUGAAUUUUAAGUGCUUUGAACUCCACGAUGAUUUUCUGGCUUACAAUUGUUUAUGUGUUGCCAUUUUCCUUGUCUUCUCAUUAUUAUAUUUUCCCUGUCUUCUCAUUAAAAU